rnacentral:rRNA from 1 species
UACGUAGGUGGCAAGCGUUAUCCGGAUUUAUUGGGUUUAAAGGGUGCGUAGGCGGCGAUUUAAGUCGAUGGUGAAAGGUAGCAGCUUAACUGUUUUACAUGCUGUCGAUACUGAAUUGCUUGAGUUACCAAGAGGCAAGUAGAAUUUCCGGUGUAGCGGUGAAAUGCUUAGAUACCGGAAGGAAUACCGAUUGCGAAGGCCACUUGCUAUAGGUAAACUGACGCUGAUGCACGAAAGCGUGGGGAGCGAA